rnacentral:rRNA from 1 species
CCAACAGGGAUUGCCUCAGUAACGGCGAGUGAAGCGGCAACAGCUCAAAUUUGAAAGCUGGCUCUUGCAGAGCCCGCGUUGUAAUUUGUAGAGGAUGCUUCGGGCGCGGCGCUGGUCUAAGUUCUUUGGAACAAGACGUCAUAGAGGGUGAGAAUCCCGUAUGUGACUAGCUGCCUGUGCCUAUGUGAAGCUCCUUCGACGAGUCGAGUUGUUUGGGAAUGCAGCUCAAAAUGGGUGGUGUACUUCAUCUAAAGCUAAAUAUUGGCCAGAGACCGAUAGCGCACAAGUAGAGUGAUCGAAAGAUGAAAAGCACUUUGGAAAGAGAGUUAAACAGUACGUGAAAUUGUUGAAAGGGAAGCGCUUGCAAUCAGACUUGCGCGGCGUCGAUCAACCUGGGUUCUCCCUGGUGCACUCGGCGCUGCUCAGGCCAGCAUCAGUUUCAGCGGUUGGAUAAAGGCCUAGGGAACGUGGGUUACUUCGGUGACUGUUAUAGCCCUAGGUGCAAUGCAGCCUGUUGGGACUGAGGACCGCGCUUCGGCUAGGAUGCUGGCGUAAUGGUUGUAAGCGACCCGUCUUGAAACACGGACCAAGGAGUCUAACAUCUAUGCGAGUUUUUGGGUGUUAAACCCAUAAGCGUAAUGAAAGUGAACGGAGGUGAGAACCCUUAAGGGUGCAUCAUCGACCGAUCCUGAUGUCUUCGGAUGGAUUUGAGUAAGAGCAUAGCUGUUGGGACCCGAAAGAUGGUGAUCUAUACUUGAAUAGGGUGAAGCCAGAGGAAACUCUGGUGGAGGCUCGCAGCGGUUCUGACGUGCAAAUCGAUCGUCAAAUUUGAGUAUAGGGGCGAAAGACUAAUCGAA